UGACUCAUCCAUGGUGUUCAUGGUCAUGUAAUUAAUCAGGCUGAAAGGAAGAGAUCUGUAAUCAAUCAAGGCAUCCUUCUCUAACAGCCUGGGCCCUCUUCAUUGCACUCUCAGCUUCUGGAAGUUUCCAAGGAUAGGAAGGCGCAUCAUUCUAAAGAAUCCUCACAGCCCUGUAGCCAGCUCGGCUAGACGGCUGCAGCCGGCCAUUAUUGCUCCGAAGGGAUGGAUAAGCUGACUGUGCACUCAGUAAUAAUGCUGCUCGUGUCGCAGCUAACAGCCAGGGGAGGUUGUCUCUCCACCAACGCAAAACGCUGAGCUGGUAAACCCGCCGCCUUCGCAAGCAGAACUACAGAGCAAGGUUCUCCAUCUGUCACCUGGCAGAGCGCCUUUGAAACAGGCUCAGCUCCAAGCCCAGUCUGCAGGCAGAGAAGCUCCGGCCGGCUGAUCCCGCCCCUCCCCCGCCCGCCUGCACCCAUUGUAUUUGCUGCUUGCGACUUAAAGAACCAGCCGACUCCUUCUCUCCCUU